rnacentral:rRNA from 1 species
AGUGAACGCUGGCGGCGUGCCUAAUACAUGCAAGUCGAACGGAGAGGCGCACGGGUGUGUAAUAUAUAGCUAAUCUGCCCCUUGCUGGAGGACAACAGUCAGAAAUGACUGCUAAUACUCCAUAGCAAGGGAUGAGACUAUAUCGUAUCAGCUAGUCGGUGGGGUAACGGCCUACCGCGGCUAUGACGCGUAACUGGUCUGAGAGGAUGGUCAGUCGAAUAUGAACUGAGGCACGGUCCAAACACCUACGGGAGGGAGCGGUAGGGAGUAUUGCGCAAUGGGGGAAACCCGGACGCAGCAACGCGGCGUGGAGGAUGACACUGUGCGGAGCGUAAACUCCUUUUAUUAGGGAAGCGGUACCUGACGAAUAAGCACCGGCUAACUCCGUGCCAGCAGCCGCGGUAAUAC